CAGCAGCCGCGGUAAUACAGAGGGUGCAAGCGUUAAUCGGAAUUACUCGGGCGUAAAGCGCACGCAGGCGGUUGGUUAAGUCAGAUGUGAAAGCCCCGGGCUCAACCUGGGAAUUGCAUUUGAAACUGGCCAACUAGAGUACGUGAGAGGGGGGUAGAAUUCCAAGUGUAGCGGUGAAAUGCGUAGAGAUUUGGAGGAAUACCAGUGGCGAAGGCGGCCCCCUGGCACGAUACUGACGCUCAGGUGCGAAAGCGUGGGGAGCAAACAGGAUUAGAUACCCUGGUAGUCCACGCCGUAAACGAUGUCUACUAGCUGUUCGUGGUCUUGUACUGUGAGUAGCGCAGCUAACGCACUAAGUAGACCGCCUGGGGAGUACGGUCGCAAGAUUAAAACUCAAAUGAAUUGACGGGGGCCCGCACAAGCGGUGGAGCAUGUGGUUUAAUUCGACGCAACGCGAAGAACCUUACCUACUCUUGACAUCUAGCGAAGACUGCAGAGAUGCGGUUGUGCCUUCGGGAACGCUAAGACAGGUGCUGCAUGGCUGUCGUCAGCUCGUGUUGUGAAAUGUUGGGUUAAGUCCCGCAACGAGCGCAACCCUUAUCCUUUGUUGC
rnacentral:rRNA from 1 species